GGCUCGGUGGUCUAGGGGUAUGAUUCGCGCUUCGGGUGUGCGAGAUCCCGACUUCAAGUCCCGGCCGAGGCCA
rnacentral:tRNA from 1 species